rnacentral:piRNA from 1 species
CAUGCAAGGACACUGACAACUCUGAGG